rnacentral:lncRNA from 1 species
AAGGCAAGAGCUCAAGAGGGCAGCACGCAAGGAGAAGAAAAUGAAUGGAUCUAUGGUGGCAAAAAUUAAAAAAAAAAUCCAGGAACCAUUGGUAUAAAACUCUGGAUACCAAAGGAGCCCUCCUCUCUGUUCCUCCGUCCAAGCAUCAGGAAAGUCAAUACAAUGAUCAGAACUAUCCUGAGGACUGAUAUGUCUGGGAACUGUUCUGAUCACCACCACCGCCACCACCAAGCAGGAGUAUACACGUGCACUAAGGCAGCAACUGGGAAACAUGCUGGGCAUAGAACAUUGAUGGCUAUUCACAGCAAAGAGCCUGCUUGGCCCUGGUUUCCAAGUCAUCAUCAGACACCCUGACCAAGCUCAAGGCUGGAUUAUGUCCAUCUCUGUCCACAACUUUCCUCUGGAGUAGCUUCUCUCACUCCUGCUGCUGAACUGCUGCUGGACCCCAAAUCGCCUGGGAGAGAUCUGCAAUUCAAUGGCGGGAUGACAUCAGUGAUGAAACAGUUCCUAAAGAUACAGAGCCAACUCUUCAAACAUGAUCUCGGAAGUAGGACGAGUACAUUUUGUUUCUAAGUUUCAAAUCAGAGAACUGCAUGGCCAGCGAAGCCUGUGCCAAGUUUUAUUUGCGCAAUUUUCAGAAGCUGUUUUCAAAAUGGGGUUCAAGAAUUUGCCAAAGGCUUUGAAACACACAUACUAACACGGAGGGCCCUUAGUACUAGUAUCAGAGUUACCCAUUAUUGUCAAGAUGGGGCCCUGGAUGAAUGACUCCUUGGAGUAACG